GCGGCGUGCCNAACACAUGCAAGUCGAGCGGGGUANCAAUACCCAGCGGCANACGGGUGAGUAACGCGUGGUCAACCUUCCGUUGAAUGGGGGAUAACUANCCGAAAGGUUAGCUAAUACCGCAUACGAUCUUUCGAAGGCAUCUUUGAAAGAUGAAAGGAGCAAUUCGUUCAACGACGGGACCGCGUCCCAUUAUCUAGAUGGUGGGGUAAUGGCCUACCAUGGCAACGAUGGGUNGCUGGUUUGAGAGAGCGACCAGCCACACUGGGACUGAGAAACGGCCCAGACUCCUACGGAAGGCACCAGUGAGGAAUUUUCCGCAAUGGGCGAAAGCCUGACGGAGCGACGCCGCGUGUGGGAAGAAGGCCUUCGGGUCGUAAACCACUGUCGAAGGGGACGAUUAUGACGGUACCCUUGGAGGAAGCCCCGGCUAACUACAUGCCAGCAGCCGCGGUAAGACGUAGGGGGCAAGCGU
rnacentral:rRNA from 1 species